AUUUCUUUUAACAUAUCAAGAAGUCGAAUUGGCAGUGAAGAAAUAAGUAGGAAGCCGAAAACCAUCAUUGCCUAUAACCAAAACCCAUUAAACCCAUACCAUGCAUGCUUUUUUCUUCACUGCCAAUUCGACUUCCUGAUAUGUUGAAAGAAAU
rnacentral:pre_miRNA from 1 species